GACGAACGCUGGCGGCGUGCUUAACACAUGCAAGUCGAACGGAAAGGCCCUGCUUUUGUGGGGUGCUCGAGUGGCGAACGGGUGAGUAACACGUGAGUAACCUGCCCUUGACUUUGGGAUAACUUCAGGAAACUGGGGCUAAUACCGGAUAGGAGCUCCUGCUGCAUGGUGGGGGUUGGAAAGUUUCGGCGGUUGGGGAUGGACUCGCGGCUUAUCAGCUUGUUGGUGGGGUAGUGGCUUACCAAGGCUUUGACGGGUAGCCGGCCUGAGAGGGUGGCCGGCCACAUUGGGACUGAGGUACGGCCCAGACUCCUACGGGAGGCAGCAGUGGGGAGUAUGACACAAUGGGCGGAAGCCUGAGGCAGCAACGCCGCGUGCGGGAUGACGGCCUUCGGGUUGUAAACCGCUGUCGCCUGUGACGAAGCGUGAGUGACGGUAAUGGGUAAAGAAGCACCGGCUAACUACGUG
rnacentral:rRNA from 1 species